UUUUUCCGCUCCCCUUGGCCUUGGUGCACUGUCUCUUUAAAUGGGGCGCCACACCACGGCUCGCGAGUGUUGUGGGUCUCGGGAGUGUCUGAGCUGCUGCAGAUGCCUCCUGCUGUAUGACGAUGUGCUGAGAAUGACUAUUAAGCGGAACUGGCCAGGUUCCAGUAUUGGAUGGCGAGCUAGAAGGCCCCGAGCCUGGACAUAUUGAGUGCGCCCGUCCGCCGGUGCGGUAGGAGGCGCUGCAGCCACUCCCCACACACACCCACUUGCACACACGCACACUAACAACCUCCGCUGGUGGAUUGUUUGAACUUUGCGAGUUUUGCACAGACUGAAACCCAGGUUCACCAGACUUGACGAUCU